CCGAGAGAGGGCGCCCCGCGCGCCCGACCUCCCAACCCUUUGUUAACCGUACCGCGUUGCCUCGGGGUGGCCCUCGCCGGCGCCCCAGAGGACGUCAACCACAACUCUGCGUCUUUGCGUCGAGUCUUUAUUUUGAAUCAAUCA
rnacentral:misc_RNA from 1 species